GGUCCUGGUGCUCCCGUUGUUGGGUUGUUAGGUGCUGGUUUUAGUGGGAGACUGGCGUGGAGCGACUAGGAUAGAGCGUUGUGAUACAGUACAACGUUUAGAAAUAAUCUUACCCAUUUUAGAUUUACAUUCACGUCGCCUAAUGAGUUCAAAUAUGCAUCCCUGGUUUACAAAGAACGGGGAGGUCCAUUCUCCUACAAACUGAAUACAGAGCUAGCUAGGCAAUUUCUCCCUACACAAACAAGCCAGAGCUAGCAGUCCCUUUCCAACACCUCGUUUGACUUUAUCCGCUAUUUCUCCCUCUUUCUGCUUUUUUCACUACUUGCUACAGGCCUCUUGGAUUUUCGAUUCUUAGGCUGAGAGGAUGGGUGCGUUUUUGGACAAGCCAAAGAUGGAGAAGCACAAUGCCCACGGUGAGGGCAACGGUCUGCGCUAUGGCCUGAGCAGCAUGCAGGGCUGGCGGGUGGAGAUGGAGGAUGCGCACACUGCCGUCAUCGGCCUGCCCCAUGGCCUCGAUCCCUGGUCUUUCUUUGCCGUGUAUGAUGGUCAUGCGGGCUCGCAGGUGGCCCGAUACUGCUGCGAGCACCUGCUGGAGCACAUCACCAGCAACCCGGACUUCCGGGGUGGUGGCGGUGGCGAUGGGGGCCCUCGGCUGGCCGAGGAGCCCAGUGUGGACAGCGUCAAGUCGGGCAUCCGCACAGGCUUCCUGCAGAUUGACGAUCACAUGCGGCAGAUCUCGGAGAAGAAGCACGGCGGCGCUGACCGCAGUGGCUCCACAGCGGUGGGCGUGAUGAUCUCGCCGCGUCACAUUUACUUCAUCAACUGUGGCGACUCGCGAGGCCUGCUGAGCCGCGCCAGCGCCGUCCACUUCUUCACGCAGGACCACAAGCCCAGUAACCCGCUGGAGAAGGAACGCAUCCAGAACGCCGGAGGCUCUGUCAUGAUCCAGCGCGUCAACGGCUCGCUGGCCGUAUCCCGCGCCCUCGGCGACUUCGACUACAAGUGCGUGCACGGCAAAGGCCCCACGGAGCAGCUGGUGUCGCCCGAGCCAGAGGUGUAUGCCAUCGAGCGCUCGGAGGCACAGGACGAGUUCAUUGUUCUGGCGUGUGACGGCAUCUGGGAUGUCAUGGCUAAUGAGGAGCUCUGCGAUUUCGUCCGCUCACGACUUGAGGUGACCGACGACCUGGAGAGAGUCUGCAAUGAGAUUGUGGAUACCUGCUUGUACAAGGGGAGCAGAGACAACAUGAGCGUUGUGUUGGUGUGUUUUAACGCGGCACCCAAGGUUUCACCAGAGGCCGUGAAGAGAGAGUCCGAACUUGACAAAUAUCUGGAGAGCCGUGUAGAGGAGAUCCUUAAGAAGCAGGGUGAUGAGGGUGUGCCGGACCUUGUACACGUGAUGCGCAUGUUAGCAUCUGAGAGCAUCCCAAACUUACCGCCUGGAGGAGAACUUGCCAGCAAGCGAAGCGUUAUUGAAGCAGUAUAUAACAAACUUAACCCAUACAGGAGCGAGGACACAUUAUUUUACUGUGUGCACAGCACUUCAUGGAGGACUGCUCCAAAACCUGUGUGCAGUUCAACGCAGGAUUUUCACAUCUACUCUUGAAGGACCUGGCAGUUCCAACUUUGUGUGGCCCAACAGAAGAUUCAGGUUCACAACAUGUUAUUUUGUGACUCUUCAUGUGGUGUGGCGAUGAGGUGAUUGACAGUCAAAUGUGAACACACAGGCAUCUGACAUGACAGCUAUAUAAAGCUUGACUUUUUGCCUUUUUUUUUUUUUUACCUUUGACUUUGAUUGUUCACUUUGGCAUUUUUGAAGUAAAGCAAUGUCUCAUUCAGCAGUAAGUUAUUCCAAUAGGUCAUCAGGAUCAAAGUAUUUUCAGAACUAAGCAAGCUUCAAUAAGCUUCCUUAAUGUUAGUUAGCUAGCUAGCUAGUUUGUUCAAAUCAGCACUUUACAUCAAUGUUUAAUUUGGCUUGAUUAUUAAAAUAUUGUUCAUCAUGCCACAUUAAAUUAAAUAAUGUGAACACGCUCCUUUAAGUAGCUGAAAAAAAAUUAUAGGCAGUUAUUAAAUAUGUCUUUUCAAAGAUCUGAAUAUGGAAGCUAUGCUUAAGAUGCUUCAUGUAACCUAUGCUAUUUAUUUAUCUAAUGUUAACUAUUUAUCUAUUAUAUAUAAUAGGCAGCUAGCUAUCAUUAGAUGUCAGAUAUUUUGCUACGUUGCUAAGGUAUUUUUGUGAUGAUGAAGUGUUUCAUUCCGGAACAUGAUUGAUGGAUAUGAAGGCAUAUAUUUACACUAGGUAAUGUAUAAAACAGAAUAUUAUUUUAUGUUGUAUUUGCUCCUGACAUUGAGAGAGGAAGCGUGCACUAACAAAUGUUGCCAGGGGUUGGACAGAGAUGCUGUACGCCCAACAGUCUCUAUUAUGCAUGCUCUGUCUCCAGUUUUGCUCUGGCUCCAGUUUUGCUCAACUUCACAAGUGCAGACAAGAUGGCAGCCCCUUACAAAUCAGUGUGGAACAUUUUAUAACACACGUUGUCAUUACAGCUGAACGCCCCAUGGCCUUUGAACUUCAUGGUGGAAAAAAAAUGGAAAGUUCAAGUACUGAAAUGUUUUUUUUUUUUUUUUUUUUUAAAUACACUGAUCAAAAUGUUUUGUAGCAUUUUGACAACCUAGAACAAUUAACUAGCUAGGUAGCUAUCCAGCUAACAGCUAACACUACUAAUCAAAUAGCUAAAAUCAAUUAUUUAGCAUAAUGUCUCCUUUGUUUUAUGCACAUAUGCUAAAAAAUAAAUGUUUUACAGAAUAAAUGAAGAAUAAUUGGUACAUGAAUCACUUAUGUUAUUAAGUAUUAUAAUUUGUAUUGUUUGGUUUAGCUUCAGAAAUGUCCCAUGAUGUUGGAAUCAUGGGACUGAAUAGUGUUCAUACAUCUCAAAUUUUCAUCCUGUGUAGUAUAUAUUUUGAGCACUUUUCAAUUACUAACUGUGAAUAUUAAGGUUUAGGACACACUAACCAUCCCAGAAGACAAUUUUGACAUACUAUUUAGCACAGAAGAUGGCUAUUUCGGACUUAGACUGUGAGUCAAUGGAGAUGUGCCAUCCAGUCAUAUAAGCAGUUUGUGGUGCUGAUACACUCUAAAAACACUCCCCCAUCCUCAUAAAAGUCAUUAGAGAAUUCAUACCCUCUGUCCCACACUGUUAUUUUUGUGGACAUGACCUGAUUUGCAUAUUACACAUUAGGUUUCAAAGUGACAAACCGGAGACCCCUAUGACUACGAAUUGUAAAUGAAUGUGGUUAAACUCUGUAAUUCACAAACCAGUCUCAUGAAGUGACCAGGUGUAAAUGGGGUCUCAUUUACUCUCUCACUCACACAUUCACUCGCUCAUUUUAGGAGUAAAAAUCCAAUUUUAGCUAGUAACACACAAAUAUGACUAUUAGUCACAUCCCAACAGUGAUCACUUUGGUUUUCAACUUGCUCAUGUCUGUGGCAUUUUUGUCCUGGCCUAGUAAUGACCCACACAAUAUGUUUUCUCUGUGCCUGGCUGAUAAUCUUAGACAGUGUUAGUGACUCGCCACCAGAUAGGGGAAGUACUUACAAAUUAGUGUUCUUCAGGCUUUGUGAACAGAUUCUAGCUGCAAUUGUACUACACAACAGGUGUAUCAGCUUAAGCUAGUGCUGGACACAGGGUAUACUGUAACUUCCUUUGCAAAUCACAUCAGUCUAGAAUUCAGUAUAAGCUCAUAUUUGGCUGUUGAAAUGAGCUUAACAGUUGUCUCUGCCCACUUAUUAACUUGCUUUUUGGGUAAACAAUACAGCAAUAAAUGUCAAGGAACAUGCAUGCUAGUUCUGUAAAGUACAUCACCAUAAUAUAGAAGAAAGGGAGAUGUCCACUUUCAGGUGUUAAGUUGCAUGUAACAUAGAUGUUAAAAGUAUUUUGAAGCAGAUAAAAAUCCUGAAACAGGCAAGUCCUUGUAUGUGCAUUUUUGAGUCCUUCCUUUCCUAUUUGUAAAUAUCUUCAGACAUCUGAUUUCUGUACAUUAGGUCUGGACUGUGAAAUCUAGAGUGCUCAGCCACAAAAGCCUUGGGUGAAAAGUCACUGUUUUGUGCUGUAUUGUAUGAUGUCUUAGUCCCGGUAGUUUACUUAUGCUCUGUUUGAAAUUCCUUCCCACUUUGGUGGUUUCAUAUAGAAGGAGCAACAAUAUGGCCUUUAUGUCCGUUGACCCUGCUGCAGAUGUAUUGACCUGCAGCCAUGAGAAUAGAACAGCCAAGGCCGGAUUUUAUCAUGUUCUUUAUAUUGAUGUGUCAUUCUGCAAAUGAUUGGCUCCUUUCUCUUCCCAUGUUUCCUUGCAUGCUUCUGCUAUUCCUUUAGGUAUUCCUGCCAUCCGCCUCUUAGAUUUUUGUUUGGGUAAGAUGGGUAAAUGGGGUUAAAACGCAUGUUUUCAUAUAUUUUGCCAUACAUAAAUUCAUAUAUCAUCCACAUUAAAACAUUGUUUUCCACCACUGAGCAUUAGUCUUUUCAAAUCCACUCUCCAAAAUGGGUAAAUUUGAAAAGGGAUAAUGGAAAAUAUACCCUUUAGAAAACACUGACACUGAUGUGAGGUUGUUGUGUCACACUCCACAAUGGUGAAACCUGUUGUCAUGCUGUUUACUGCAUUAGGUAUUUUAAUUUCAUGUUUACCUGCUCAACCUUAUUUGUCCAAGCAAAGAAGCCGUUUGUCUUUUUUUCUCACCUUUGCGCUACAUGUUGGCUGCUGUGUUGCAUGUGACUGCAGCAUGUAAUGCACCAUGCGAAAAUGACAGAGGAGUCAUAGGUUAGAUACUCACACAUGGUCACCAUUCCACUUUCAUUCCACUGUAAUUAGGGUAAUCAGACAGUAUUUGGGACAAGCACUUGAGGUGGCACCAAAUAUGGUUUCUCCAACAGAAAGGGUAUAGAUAGACCCAAGCAAUUGGAGACCCAGGCAACAGGCAACCCAGUCCAUCUUUGAACUUUUAAGUUGUGGCUACAAAAAAGCCUCCUUAAAGUGCAUAACUCUGCUUCAAUGUGGAGGGCACUGUGCAGGAGACAACAAACAAGCAAAUGCAUUUCUGAAAUAAUUUUUGGAAGCAAAACUUUGUGUUUGAUUCAUUCUUUUUAUCACAUUGAAUAUUGGUCGGCCCACGGCUGGCUUGGGUGGUGAUGGCGUCUCUGCCUUUUGGGCUGACGAGCCGGGGAGCACACCAGAGGAGUUGCCUGUCUUGAGAACAGGCACAGAUGGUGCUUCCUUUUCUCCUCAUCUAGUUGCACGAGCAGGCGGGCUCCAGGGCUGUGCGCCCCAGGUGAGGGAGCGUCCUUCGACAAUGGGGGCCUCUUUUAAG